rnacentral:lncRNA from 1 species
UAUCCCUGAAAAUAAUCAUGUGAAUGGGCACUGUAUAAUUAGAGGCACAAACUCCACCAGAAACUGGAGUCACUUAAACUAAUAUUUGACAAAGUUUUUUUAAUAAAUUAGGAUAUUUUAGCAGACAGUAUGAUGAUGGAUGGAAUUAUACCUUUGAAUUGGAGAAGCGGGAAGAGCCAAAGCCAGCUUUUAAUGAUUUCAUAAUUUUGUCUGGGUCUGGCUGUGGUCUCUUUUUUUACCCUAAGAACCAGUGAGAAAGAAGCUUUCCUUUUGGAAAGCCAGACUUGAGAUAUAAGAGGCCGCCCUGUAGAGGAGGAAGGAGGAAGUUGGCUGUGAUUGACCUUGCUAGGUCAUCUUCCUAAUCUUUGUCCUUUCCUGCACCCCAAAUGGAAGAUAAAAGGCAAUGCAAGAUCAGCAUCCUCAGAGACAUCGUUUUGUUUGGGUUUCAUGGAUUGCAAUUGCCAGAGAUGCUUAGGCUGCCUCUAGAGGGAAGAUGAUUGAUUGUUAACCUAUGUGGUCCAACCAAAUGUCUUAGGGGUUAUUGAUAAUUAAAAUGGACAAUAGCGAUUUUCCAUUUCUUCUGGCCUUGGGUGCUGGCAUGUGGAAGUGGUAUUGAUACUCAUGACCAAAUAGGCACUUAUCGAUUUCAGUUUUCAUAAGUUGCCUACCAAAUGCAAACUAGUAACCCAGACGUGGGAGACCUAAUAUUCCAUUGUUAAUCUUUAGGUCCAUAAUUUUUAUUUCCUCUACUUGCCUCUUCUUCCUUCCUCUGCAUAAUGAGUUGGGCUUAUAUAAUUGCACCCAUUUACUCACUCAUUCGUUCAAUCAAUUAUUUGUUCCUAUUUUAUGCCAAGUAAUGAACAGAAGGUGUUGGGGAUGCAAAACCCAACUAAUUGGAAUUUCUAUGUUACAGGAGCUUAUGCUUUAGUGAAAUUAUAGACAAAUUAUUAUACAGUUUUAAUCCAGAAUAGUAAGUGCUAUGGGAGCAUGCACAGAGGAAACAACCCAAUCUUAAGGAAUCAGGAAGGUUUGCAGAGGACUGACAGGAAAAGUGGGCAGGUGAAGAAGAUGGGCAGUGAGAGGAGGAGUGGAAGCACUUUUGCUAGGGAAAAACAUGAAUAAAAGGGAUAAUUUUCUGCUCUUACCCCUGGGUGAUCUUUGCGUGGUACUGUCCAUCACAGUUGGGAGAGACGGCUCCUCAGAGCUGCUCCACACUGUUCACAGAGGAUGCCAUUCCAAGGAAACUGGGGAAUAGGGAAAGUCUUUAGCUUAUUCCUCUUUGAGGUUUGUUUGAGAUGCAGUUUCUUCAAUAUUUUGAGUCUAUGAAAACAUGUUGUAUACUUAAAUAUAUACCACAAAAAAUAAAAAAAAUUGCGAUUUAAA